rnacentral:rRNA from 1 species
UACAGAGGGUGCGAGCGUUAAUCGGAAUUACUGGGCGUAAAGCGUGCGUAGACAGUUGCGUAAGUCGGAUGUGAAAUCCCCGGGCUCAACCUGGGAAUUGCAUUCGAGACUGCGUAGCUGGGGUGCGGAAGAGGGAAGCGGAAUUUCCGGUGUAGCGGUGAAAUGCGUAGAUAUCGGAAGGAACAUCAGUGGCGAAAGCGGCUUCCUGGUCCAGCACCGACGUCAGGCACGAAAGCGUGGGGAGCAAACAGG